rnacentral:lncRNA from 10 species
AUGGGCAGAGGAGAUCCUAAGAAGCUGAGAGGCAAAAUGUCUUCACAGCAUUCUUGUGCAAACUUGUCGGGAGGAGCACAAGAAGCAGCACAAAGAUGCUUCGGUCAAUUUCUCAGAAUUUUCUAAGACGUGCUCAGAGAGGUGGAAGACCAUGUCUGCUAAAGAGAAAAGAAAAAUGUGAAGAUAUGGCAGAGGCGGACAAGGCCUGUUAUGAAAGAGAAAUGAGAACCUGUAUCCCUUCUAAAGGGGAGAUAAAAAAGAAGUUCAAGGAUCCCAAUGCACACAAGAGGCCUCCUUUGGCCUUUUUCUUGUUGUGUUCUAAGUAUCACUAAAAAAUCAAAGGAGAACAUCCAUCCUGGCCUAUCCAUUGGUGGUGUUGUGAAGAAGGUGGGAAAUCUGUGGAACGACACAGCUGCAGAUGACAAGCAUCCUUAGGAAAAGAAGGCUGUGAACCUGAAGAAAAAAUAUGAAAAGGAUAUUGCUCCACAACAAGCUAAAGGAAAACCUGAGGCAGUUAAAGAGGGAGUUGCCAAGGCUGAGAAAGGUAAGAAAAAGGAAGAGGAGGAAAAUGAGGAAGAUGAAGAGGAUGAGGAGGAGGAAGAUUAAGAGGAUGAAGAUGAAGAAGAUGAUGAUGAUGAAUAA